AAGACCAAGGUCUUUUGGGUGCGUGGGGGGGGUAGGGCAGCAGAUGGAAGUAGGUGGGCCGGAGUGUUUGGAGGACUCGUGAAGGCUGGGGGUGCAGGGAGGGACCCUCAGGCAUUGAGCAGCUACGUGCCUUGGUUGUUACACCUGGAGAAGACACACUGUUCCCACUGCUACUCCCAUACUGGUCCAAGGCACCUUCAGGAUUCUUCCAACCUGGAUGCAUGGGUGGGUGCUGGUGGCUGCUCCACACACAGCGCUCCCACGACCUCCUGACUAAGUGGGACUAUUCAGACUGGGAGGUAUUUGUGAAUGCUAGGACUGGAUAGGGAGGAAUGAGGGAAAAUAGAGGGGAGGUAGGGAUUGGGAGGAAGUUGGAGGACACUGAGAAUCAUUGUGAGAUGAUAAGGAGGGACUGGAUGGGGAAUGGAUGGAGUUGGGAGAGAUUGGGAUUGCUUUGGGAGGGACUGCUCCUCCCAGUACCCCAGUACUGGGGUGCCACUGCUGCUUGUCUCCCAGAGGUGUAGCCAGGAGACCACGUGUGUUGUCGGUGCUAUCACCUGUCAAAAAGAAAGUGGUACUGCAUGUGCUGGCUCUGCUCUUGCCGUUGCCAUGGAGGAAAUAACACCACUUCAUCGCGUGCCUCUCCUUGUCUGGAUGCUACGCGGCAAUGGAAAACCACAUUUUCCACAAUGCUCCAGAACCUGGUUAACUGCUGGGCUGCUGGGUGCCCAGAGUGGUAAGAACAACAGACAUAUUCACAUACCCACCCACUAUAUAUGACCGCACCACAGAGUGCUCCCAGAAGUUGUCAGUGUACCCUGGGGUGGGCCAGAGAGCUCUGGAAGCAGCCUGGUGUGGCCUAGAGUAUGCUGGGACAUACUUGGACUGCAGCAGGGUACGCUGGAAGGCCUCUAGGGAACCCCAGAGCACACUGAAGUGCUCUGGGAGUACUGUAGGGUGCCCCACAGUCCACUUGAGCACCCUUGGAAGUCUCUGGGAUGCAGUGGGAAGCCUUUAGGGCACCUUAGGGAAUGCAGACUGUCUCUGGGAGUCCAUUAGUGUGCCUUAGAAAAUGUUGGGUAGCCCAGGGAGGCCCCUGGGGUGCGCUGUGAAGCCUUUUGUAUGACCUAGAGAACUCUGGGGGGCUCUGAGAGUAUGCUAGGGCAUACUAGAAAAUACUGGGGGCUCCUUGGAGUCCGGUAGGGCACACUGGGAAACCAGUGAAGAACCCUAGAGCAUAAUGAGGAGCUAUGAGAGCGCUCUAGGAUGCUCUGGAAUGCCUCUAGAGCUUUUCCCCUUCCCUCACUGUAAGGUAUUCCCAGAAAGGUGCAAACCACCUUUACCACGUGACCUCAGCGUUUUUCCUGUGGAGCACUUGAGGCAUUGCCCCAUGUCAGUCUCUCAUGGCACCCCUGGAAGUGACCAAGGCCAGGCUGGGUGGGCUCUAAGCAGUCUGAUCUGGUGGAGGGUGUCCAGCCCAUGGUAGGUGUGGGGCAUGUUCUCACCUGAAGGCGAGAUGGCUAGGGAGCACACACCGCAGAGACGAGCAGUAAAAGAAAGGGGCAAUCUUGAGACUCGCAAAGUUUUAUCUUUCCCUCUAAAUGGGAAAAAUUUCUCUCUCUUCUGAGGACCAGGUACCUAGAAACAAUGACACUCCACAUAACCGGAGCAUUAACUUUUUAACUCCCGGUGCACUACAUGAUGUUACGAUGUGGAAUACUGAUUAAAAAAAAUCAUAAAACUGUGACACUACUGUAAUGCUAAUCCAGAGCACUGUAUCUGGAGUCAUGGCAGCAUACAACCAAGAGCAUUUGCAGCUGACCAAUGAGAACCUGAUUAUGAAGCUUCAGGCUUGCUCUCUAGGCUAUCUUGUUUAUCAGGAAUUCAAAUCCAAAAUUAGUGUUUUGAAGAAACAAGUUCCAACAGUUACUCACAUCCAGGUAUGAAAUCCCUCAAUUCUGUCUGAAACUUGUACUUGUCAGUUAUGUUAGUAAUUUAUCAUCACAUUAUAUUAUCACUGCAAUUCCCCAUGAGCUGAAGAGAGGCAACAGGACUUUGAGAUACCUGAGUAAGAGUCCCUUUCUCUUCUCAUUUGUCCAGGGAUUUGGAGAAUUGAGGAUGUGGAAUGGGUGGUGUGAUUGUUCAGCAUAAGGUUGGGCGUGUUUACAGGAGAGUAAUGAAAAAAUCUUUCUCCACUGUUGUAACUGAAAUGUUUGUAAAUGAAAUAUAUGCUUUGCACUCUGUUACUACUUUAUUUGGCCUGUUGACCCCCGUUUGUUCCUGCCUAAGUAGCAGGUGCUCUGCCCCAGCAGACAAACAAAAAAAAACCCCACAAUCACAACCCCCAAUUCAUGAAAAUAGCACUCUCUCUCAUUAAAUGUGGACCAGUUCUUUGUCUAAUUUCUGUUCCAAGAAGCAGUAGUAGAGAAUCCACUCUGAAGGCUUAUAAUUUUACAUCACUCUUCCCUCCAGCAGCAGCAUCUGCCACAUGACCCUUACAUAUGAGAGUUUCUGUGCAUUUCAUUUAGUUACACAUUUGUUCUCUAGCUGUGUUUCUGAAGGCCCAUGCUCUUCAUGGAGAUAGUUUCAAGUCUUUCACAAUGACAACUGAUGAAAUAAAUAGUUAAUGCUUCACUGUAUCUCUCUUACUGCAUAUAGCUUGUAAGAUGAGCAUGUCUCCAUUACAUUUUAUUUAACCAAAGGGAAGUUGGAAGCUGAGCAGCAGAAAGAGGCUUAGAAUUGUAAUUACUUCUCUUUAAUUUGAAAACUAAAGUAAGUGCUCGUUUUCUGUUUUCAGUCCCAGUGGUGUUGCUAUAAACAGAGGAAGGCAUGUCAAAUUGUUUUGGAUUACCUAUGAGCACACAAGGACCGAGUAGUGAAGACUGCAAAGGCUCCAUGACAAUUUCUUUUUCUUUUUUUUUGGUAAACAUUUUGGGUAGAAAUAUCUGUGAAAAUGUGUUUUAUCUGUCCUGUUUUUGGAUUCUUUCGUUUGGAUUCAGUCAAUAACCAGGAUGUAUCAAGCCAGAGGGUGUUACAGAGAUUACCUGCAGUAUUUCAGAGACCAUGCUUGAUCCUGCACUACUCUACGAAGCAAGUCUCUGAAGGGGUCAAAGUCUGCUCUCCUGAAGUCCAGGGAAGUGAACUUGCUGUGCCCGCCUCCUCGCUGCCCCAAGGACCUUGAAUGCCAGCAUGCCACAGACAGCGCAACUACUUCUGCCCUCGAAAUUCACGUUCUCCACCAGCCUCUUCUUAUUGGUAGCACAACGCAUGCGUGCAGAAAUGUGGAAGUGGCGUAUCUGAGUACUGACCGCUCUGCGCAGCGAAUCCGCCAAUCUUUAUUGUCCAGGCUGCCCACGCAGCUUCUCAGCAUCUUGCUGUGUCAGUAUUGCAAUCUGUGCUCCCCUAUCUAUUAGAAAUGUCACCAACUGACUUUGAGGACCAACUGGAAUCAAAAUAUUUGAGCCCUUAUAGCUUAUCCAUCGAUAAGCCUCCCCUUACUGGAAAGACAGAACCAAUUGCCUGUUGGCCAUUAUUGUCUGUCUGUCUGUCUGUCUUUCGUGCUGUGCUUCAUGCCUGUAUGGGAACUGCUUGGUCAGGGCCUGAACUGGUGACUGAGCACCUGCUGAGGGGUGUAGCUAGCCCUGAGAGC